GAUGAACGCUAGCGGGAGGCUUAACACAUGCAAGUCGUGGGGCAGCACGGGGUAGCAAUACUCUGGUGGCGACCGGCGCACGGGUGAGUAACGCGUAUGCAACCUGCCCUGUACAGGGGGAUAGCCCGGAGAAAUUCGGAUUAAUACCCCAUAAAGAUAUUUAGAGGCAUCUUUAAAUAUUUAAAGCUUCGGCGGUACGGGAUGGGCAUGCGUGACAUUAGCUAGUUGGUAGGGUAACGGCCUACCAAGGCUUCGAUGUCUAGGGGUCCUGAGAGGGUGAUCCCCCACACUGGUACUGAGACACGGACCAGACUCCUACGGGAGGCAGCAGUGAGGAAUAUUGGUCAAUGGGCGUAAGCCUGAACCAGCCAUCCCGCGUGAAGGAAGAAGGCGCUAUGCGUUGUAAACUUCUUUUCCAGGGGAAUAAAAUUUCGUACGAGUACGGAACUGAAGGUACUCUGGGAAUAAGCAUCGGCUAACUCCGUGCCAGCCGCCGCAGUAACAC
rnacentral:rRNA from 1 species